rnacentral:rRNA from 1 species
GGCUAACGCUGGCGGCGUGUCUUAGCCAUGCAAGUCGAGCGGACUUAUGGGGUAACUUAUAAGUCAGCGGCGGACGGCGGAGUAACACGUAGCUAACCUACCCUCUGGACGGGGAUAACCUACCGAAAGGUGGGCUAAUACCCGAUGUAGUCAUCCUGUAUAGGGGUGAUGAAAGGUGGGCUUCUGUUUACAAGCUCAUGCUGGAGGAGGGGGCUGCGGCCUAUCAGGUAGUUGGUAGGGUAAUAGCCUACCAAGCCGAUGACGGGUAGCCGGCCUGAGAGGGUGACCGGCCCGAGGGGCACUGAGAUACGGGUCCCACUCCUACGGGAGGCAGCAGGCUAGAAAUUUGGGCAAUGGGGGAAACCCUGACCCAGUGACGCCGCGUGCAGGAAGGAGCCCUUCGGGGUGUAAACUGCUGUCGUGUAGGGAGAAGGGUACUAAGGUGAACAAUCUUAGUACUUGACGGUACUACAGGAGGAAGCCCAGGCUAACCUCGUGCCAGCAGCCGCGGUAAAGUCACGUCG